rnacentral:rRNA from 1 species
GACGAACGCUGGCGGCGUGCUUAACACAUGCAAGUCGAACGGAAAGGCCCUGCUUUUGUGGGGUGCUCGAGUGGCGAACGGGUGAGUAACACGUGAGUAACCUGCCCUUGACUUUGGGAUAACUUCAGGAAACUGGGGCUAAUACCGGAUAGGAGCUCCUGCUGCAUGGUGGGGGUUGGAAAGUUUCGGCGGUUGGGGAUGGACUCGCGGCUUAUCAGCUUGCUGGUGGGGUAGUGGCUUACCAAGGCUUUGACGGGUAGCCGGCCUGAGAGGGUGACCGGCCACAUUGGGACUGAGAUACGGCCCAGACUCCUACGGGAGGCAGCAGUGGGGAAUAUUGCACAAUGGGCGGAAGCCUGAUGCAGCAACGCCGCGUGCGGGAUGACGGCCUUCGGGUUGUAAACCGCUUUCGCCUGUGACGAAGCGUGAGUGACGGUAAUGGGUAAAGAAGCACCGGCUAACUACGUGCCAGCAGCCGCGGUGAUACGUAGGGUGCGAGCGUUGUCCGGAUUUAUUGGGCGUAAAGGGCUCGUAGGUGGUUGAUCGCGUCGGAAGUGUAAUCUUGGGGCUUAACCCUGAGCGUGCUUUCGAUACGGGUUGACUUGAGGAAGGUAGGGGAGAAUGGAAUUCCUGGUGGAGCGGUGGAAUGCGCAGAUAUCAGGGGGAACACCAGUGGCGAAGGCGGUUCUCUGGGCCUUUCCUGACGCUGAGGAGCGAAAGCGUGGGGAGCGAACAGGCUUAGAUACCCUGGUAGUCCACGCUGUAAACGGUGGGUACUAGGUGUGGGGUCCAUUCCACGGGUUCCGUGCCGUAGCUAACGCUUUAAGUACCCCGCCUGGGGAGUACGGCCGCAAGGCUAAAACUCAAAGGAAUUGACGGGGCCCCGCACAAGCGGCGGAGCAUGCGGAUUAAUUCGAUGCGACGCGUAGAACCUUACCUGGGUUUGACAUGGAUCGGGAGUGCUCAGAGAUGGGUGUGCCUCUUUUGGGGUCGGUUCACAGGUGGUGCAUGGCUGUCGUCAGCUCGUGUCGUGAGAUGUUGGGUUAAGUCCCGCAACGAGCGCAACCCUUGUUCACUGUUGCCAGCACGUUAUGGUGGGGACUCAGUGGAGACCGCCGGGGUCAACUCGGAGGAAGGUGGGGAUGACGUCAAGUCAUCAUGCCCCUUAUGUCCAGGGCUUCACGCAUGCUACAAUGGCUGGUACAGAGAGUGGCGAGCCUGUGAGGGUGAGCGAAUCUCGGAAAGCCGGUCUCAGUUCGGAUUGGGGUCUGCAACUCGACCUCAUGAAGUCGGAGUCGCUAGUAAUCGCAGAUCAGCAACGCUGCGGUGAAUACGUUCCCGGGGCU